GACAGAGGUGCCGAGCGUUAGGCGGAAUCACUGGGCUUAAAGCGUGUGUAGGCGGAUGCCUAAGUACCUUGUGAAAUCCCACGGCUUACCGUGGAACUGCUGGGUAUACUGGGUGUCUUGAGCCACUUAGGGGCUACCGGAACAGAUGGUGGAGCGGUGAAAUGCGUAGAUAUCAUCUGGAACGCCUGCGGUGAAAACGGGUAGCUGGGAGUGUGCUGACGCUGAGACACGAAAGCCAGGGGAGCGAACGGG
rnacentral:rRNA from 1 species